rnacentral:rRNA from 1 species
GACGAACGCUGGCGGCGUGCUUAACACAUGCAAGUCGAACGGAAAGGCCCUGCUUUUGUGGGGUGCUCGAGUGGCGAACUGGUGAGUAACACGUUAGUAACCUGCCCUUGACUUUGGGAUAACUUCAUGAAACUUGGGCUAAUACCGGAUAGGAGCUCCUGCUGCAUGGUGGGGGUUGGAAAGUUUCGGCGGUUGGGGAUGGACUCGCGGCUUAUCAGCUUGUUGGUGGGGUAGUGGCUUACCAAGGCUUUGACGGGUAGCCGGCCUGAGAGGGUGACCGGCCAAAUUGGGACUGAGAUACGGCCCAGACUCCUACGGGAGGCAGCAGUGGGGAAUAUUGCACAAUGGGCGGAAGCCUGAUGCAGCAACGCCGCGUGCGGGAUGACGGCCUUCGGGUUGAAAACCGCUUUCGCCUGUGACGAAGCGUGAGUGACGGUAAUGGGUAAAGAAGCACCGGCUAACUACGUG